AAAAACACUUCCUUGCGCUGGGUGAAUUGUGUGUCCUUUGCCAGGCGUGACCACUGAGCCACAGAUGAGGGGCUUGUGAGGUCAGGUCAACAUUUUUGAGCGCCUGCUGCAUGCCUAGUUUUGGGAAAUGGCUGAGAGGCCCUCGGAGAGGCUUGUGAGGCAGGAGCAGCCCAGCUGGGAUGAGGGCUCCGCUUCCACGGAGGGUAGGCUGAGCUUGCAAGGCCCUGGGGACACUCCCCUGGGCGCCUGCCAACGGCCCCCACCAUGGGGUAACUGGAGCCACCCCUACCCCCCUUCUCUAAACUUGAGGUUGUGAGUUAUUCUCAGUGUUGACCUUUUUGUGAACUGCAGCCGCAAUCCGUAAAGGCCAAGGGGCAGGGUGAGGCAGGAGGUGUGCCUGGGCAGGCCUGCUCGGGAGGGGUGGAACCAGCCAGCAGGUGGCAGAGAGGAGGCGCCAGGCCUAGGGCCUGCACAGACCCUUGUCAGGCAGCCUGCAGAGCAGACGUCGCCUGAGCGGCCCUAGCAGCAGGUAGUCAGGGACUCACCUCUGCUACAGCCAUAGCUGGUGCCAAGCAGUGGGCAGGACCUCUCCUUGCGGCUUGCCUGAGCGUGGCCCUGGCAGGGGAAGGGCUCCGGCUAUGGAAUGCUGGGGAGCCUCGGGGUGCAGGGUGCAGUGUGGGUGCUGUGAAUGCAGCGGGCGCUGUUCUAACACGUGACCGGGGCAGGCGAACCAAAGGGGGCAUCGUCCAAUGGGAGUUUUCCCACUGAGACUGUUUGCAGGCCUUUAGACUGGAAGCUGUUUGCUCGGGGGCCGCAUCCACAGAUGUGAUCUCUUCUGAAACUUCUGAAGGCCUUGGAGUCUGGGAGAAAAUGAAGCCCUGAGGCCCUAAGGCAUCUGUUGUGUGUAAUGAGUUAACUUCUUUCCAGAAUGGGACUGAUUAUGUGCCAUCCUUGGAAGAAUUGAGAAGAGUCACUCAAAUCAUAUUCUGCGUCCUGUGGCUCAGAUGAGGAACCCCGGUCGAGAGAGACCAUGCAGCUUCUAACAAACGUUGCAUGUCUGAUAAAGUAGGGGAGGCGCCUUCUAUCUCCUUCCUGGGAUCUGGAGCCUGAACAGGAGGUGGUCAGGAACAAGUGGGUCUCCUGCCAGUCACCCCUGUGUGGGCCGUAACAGCCCAGCGUGCAGAGAUGAAGUGGGGUGUGGCUUAGGGAGAGGCCCAGGUCUCCCAGGUAAGGCCUGGAGUAAGGCAUGGGGCUGGUGCUGGCAGUGUGGCCUGAGUGACCGAGGUGGGCCCGGUGAAGGCUUCCAUGGCCCGGCCAGGCAUACCACAUAAAAGUGGCUGCAAGAGAGGCCUGCCUUGGUCACUAAGGAUGUGUAUUGUUUUGAAUCAAGAGGUGCCGCCUGAGGAGCCGGGGAGGGUGAAAUUUCUGGAGCUAGUAUCUCUCAGGUGAGACAGAGGGUCAGGACAGACGUAGGGAAUAUCUUACUGGCUCUGAGGUAAGAUCAGAAGAGUCCAGUCUCGCAGGGGGACAUAGAAGUGGUGAGGCCUGGGUAGUUAGGGUCAGUUGUGGGGUAGCCUCGUGUGUCGGGACCAGGCAGAGGGAGGGUGGUAAAUUGUGGGGCUUCUCAGGGCUCAGCCAGAGUCAGCUCACAUUGGAAAGCUAACUUUGGCUGGCGGGGUCUGAAGAGGAGCCAGGACAGGUGCAGGUGAGUUCGGAGGAGGAGCCAGGACAGGUAAAGGUACUGAUGAGGUCUGUGAAUUCUGGAAGAGACACCAGUAGUUAGAGAUGGUUCUGUCAGGUGAGGUCUGAGGAGCCAAAGUCAUGUACAGGUACUCUAACCUGGAUCUGUGAGGUGAAGUCCCUGGCAUGGGACAGUUGCAUACAUCAGGUCUCUUUUGACUCGUUCUGCAAAGUGAACAUCAGGUCAUGGGUGUCUGAUCACUCAAAUGAGGCGAUUAAAACUCAGAAUUAGGCAAAUAUAUGCAAGCCCCCUGAGCCACAUCGGCUACCUGGCUCUCGGCAUCCUGACCAUGUGUGGUAAGCAGAGCUCGGGGUUGCAGAGGCCUUGGCGGUCCACAACCAGCCCAGGGUUCUGGCACUGGGUUCUGGCUGGGGUGGGGUUCCAUGGCCCAGGUGAGGGAGAGUUAGGAAUAGAGCAAGUCCUACCCGGUGAGGACUGGGGAGUUGGGGCAUGUGAAGAAGAGACAGAAGCCAUGUUGGUAAGGUAUGGCCUGAGAGGCUCGUGGCAGAUAAAGGAGUAGAGACCAUGUCUAUAGGGUGAGAUGUCUGCGGCCCAAGUCACUCAGGCACCAAGGGGCUCUCAUCAGUCGACCCUCAGGCUGAGGUAAGCAGCCAGGAAUUUGUCCCAUCUGAGGGAGGUAUCUGUUCAGAUUAAGUUUGUGCAGUGGAGUCGGCCAGGAGUGGUCUGUAGAGCCACAUCUGUCUGAGGUCUCGGGAGCUGGAGUCAGGCAUGGUGCGUAUAACUAGGUUUCUUCGGGAGGCCUGAGGAGCCGAGAUUUGGCACAUGUAGGUAGAAGCGGCUUGCUCAGGUAAGGACACUGGAGCUGGGAAAGGGCAGAGGCAGCUGAGUCUGAUAAAUGAGGACUAGGAAUCCACGAUCAGGUCCGGGUCACAGCUGUGUCCUCAGGUGACAUCCAGCAGUUCUGGUCGUGUACAACUUGGUGAUCCUGGAGGUGGUCCUGGCUCCCCUGGGAAAAGACUGAAAAGCUGGAGUCAGGCACAGGAAGGGGACCUGCAUCCAUGAAUUCUGGGUCUGGCUCAGGCAUGUAGUCAGGUAUGGGUCUCUCAGGUGAAGAGUUGAGGUGAGAUACAGAUUUGUACUUUGGGUUUCUACCAGGUAAGGUCUGAAAUGCUGAGGGCAGGCUCUGGUUUGUAUUCUGAAUCUGAGGGGCUGGGGUCAAGCACAGGUGGGUAGAGUUGAGUUUUUGAGGUAACAUCUAUGAAACCAAAGGCAAUCAGAGGUAGGCUGACCUCAAAAGCCAUGGUUAGGUUCAUUCAACUUUGUCUCACUACUGAGUUUAGGCAUACGUUGGUAGACCAGAUGUGUCAGGUAAGGCCUAAGGAGCUGGUAUUAGGCUUAUCUGGAAAGAAUUGGAUCUCUGAGGUGAUCUCUGAGGAUAUGAAGUCUUGAGAAUAGGGCUCAGUCUCUCAGGUGAGAUCUGAGGAGCUAGGAUUGGGUACCAGUGACUAGAUCUGGAUCUCCUAAGUAAGGUCAAGAUCAGCAGAUAGAACUGCAUCUCUGCCUGUCUUGUAGAAUUGUUUUGCAAGAUUGAUGAGUCAUGGCCAAGUAUAGGUAUAUGGAAUUGAGUUUCUCAGGAAAGACCUAUGGAGUCUGUAUCUGGCAGAGGUUUGUAUCCUUGAGAGUGUCAGUAUGAGUUAAGCAUAGGUGAGUACAGCAGGGUUUUGUCAGGUAAGGUCUGUGGAGCCAAGAUGAGGGCAGGUUCACAACACUCAGUCUCUCCAGUGAGUUCUUAGUCACAGUCAAGCCCUGGUAAGAACUGAAUGUCUUAGAGGAGAUGUGAGCAACGGAGAGGUAUUGGGAGGUGGAGCUAGCCCACCAGGUCCAAUCUGAGGAGCCAGGAGCAAGCACAGGUAGGCAGAGCAGGCCCACCAGGCGAGGUCUGAGGACCCAGAGGUCAAACACAGGUAGGCAAAACUGGCCCACCAAGUAUGGUCUGAGAAGCCAGGGUCAAGUACAGGUAGGUAGAACAGACUUACCAAGGUGAAGUCUGAGGAACCAAUGUGAAACACUGGUAGGAAGAGCUGGUCUGGCAAGUGAGGUCUGAGGAGCCAGGGUCAACCAUAGGUCCACCAGGUAUGGUCUGAGGAGCCAGAGUCAAGCACAGGUAAGCAAAAUUAGAUUGCCAGGUAUAGUCUGAGGAGCCAAGGUCAAGCAAAGGUAGGUGGAACUGGCCUAUCAGGUGAUGUCUGAGGAUCUGGAGUCAAGCACAGGUAGGCAGAUUUGGCUUGCCAGGUGAGGUCUGAGGAACCAGGGUCAAGCAUAGGUAGGUAGAACUAGCCAGCCAAGUAUGGUCUGAGGAACCAGGGUCAAGCACAGGUAGGUAGAAUUGGCCUGCCGGGUAUGAUCUGAGGAGCCAAGGUCAAGUACAGGUGGGUUGAACUGGUCCACAAAGGGUGGUUGGAGGAGCCAAGAUCAAGCACAGGUAGGUAGAACUGGCUCGCUAGGUGAGGUCUGAGGAACCAAGGUGAAACACAGGUAGGCAGAGCUGGCCUAGCACAUGAGGUCUGGAGAACCAGGGUCAACCAUAAAUGGGUAGAACUGGUCCACCAGGUAUGGUCUGAGGAGCCAGGGUCAAGCAGAGGUAGGUAGACUGGCCUGUCAGGUGAAGUCUGAGGAACUGAGGUCAAGCACAGGUAGGUAGAACUGGCCUAUCAGAUGAAGUCUGAGGAACUGAGGUCAAGCACAGGUAGGCAAAUUUGGCUUGUCAGGUAAGGUCUGAGGAGCCGGGGUCAAGCACAGGUAGGUAGAACUGGCCUAUCAGAUGAAGUCUGAGGAACUGAGGUCAAGCACAGGUAGGCAAAUUUGGCUUGCCAGGUAAGGUCUGAGGAGCCAGGGUCAAGCACAGGUAGGUAGAACUGGCCUAUCAGGUGAAGUCUGAGGAGUCAGGGUCAAGCACAAGUAAGUAAAACUAGACCGCCAGGUAUGAUCUGAGGAGCCAAGGCCAAGCAUAGGUAGGUAGACUGGCCUGUCAGGUGAAGUCUGAGGAGCCAGGGUCAAGCAUAGGUAGGUAGACUGGCCUAUCAGAUGAAGUCUGAGGAACCAAGGUCAAGCACAGGUAGGUAGAACUGGCCCAGUAGGUAUGGUCUGAGGAGCCAAGGUCAAGCACAGGUAGGUAGAACUGGCCUGUCAGGUGAAGUCUGAGGAACUGAGGUCAAGCACAGGUAGGUAGACUGGCCUGUCAGGUGAAGUCUGAGGAACUGAGGUCAAGCACAGGUAGGUAGACUGGCCUGUCAGGUGAAGUCUGAGGAACUGAGGUCAAGCACAGGUAGGUAGAACUGGCCUGUCAGAUGAAGUCUGAGGAACUGAGGUCAAGCACAGGUAGGCAAAUUUGGCUUGUCAGGUAAGGUCUGAGGAGCCAGGGUCAAGCACAGGUAGGUAGAACUGGCCUAUCAGAUGAAGUCUGAGGAACUGAGGUCAAGCACAGGUAGGCAAAUUUGGCUUGUCAGGUAAGGUCUGAGGAGCCAGGGUCAAGCACAGGUAGGUAGAACUGGCCUGUCAGGUGAAGUCUGAGGAACUGAAGUCAAGUACAGGUAGGCAGACUUGGUUGCCAGGUCAAGUCUCUGGAACCAGGGUCAAGUAUAGGUAGGUAGUGCCACACUGUCAUUUGUGGUCUGAGGAGCCAAAGUCAAGCAUAGGUAGGUAGAAUUGGCCCACUGGGUGUGGUUUGAGGAGCUAAGGUCAAGCAUGGGUAUGUUGAACUAGCCUGUUAAGUCUGAGGAACGGAGUUCAAACACAGUAGGCAGAUCCGGAUUGCCAGGUGAGGUCUAAGGAGCCAGUGGUAAUUAAGCACAGGUAGGUUGAAUUGGCCUGUCAGGUCAGGUCCAAAGAACUGGGGUCAAACACAGGUAAGCAGAUCUGGCUUACCAGGUAAGGUUUGAGGAACCAAGGUCAAACAUAGGUAGGUAGAACUGGCUUACCAGGUGAAAUCUGAGGAUCCAGGGUCAAGUAUAGGUAAGUGGAACUAGCCAUGGUCUAAGGAUUCAGGGUCAAGCACAGGUAGGUAGAACUGGCCUGUCAGGUCAAGUCCGAAGAACUGGGGUCAAACACAGGUAGGCAGAUCUGGCUUGCCAGGUGAGGUCUGAGGAGCAAGGGUCAAGCAUAGGUAGGUAGAACUGGCCCACCAGGUACAGUCUAAGGAGCCAAGGUUAAGCAUAGGUAGGCAGAGCUGGCCCAGCAGGUUAGAGGAGCUGGGGUCAGAGACAGGUAGGUAGAAAUGGCCAACCAGGUAUGGUCUAUGUUUGGACCCCGGGUCAAGCACAGGUAGGUAGAGCUGCCUCACCAGCUGCAGUGUAAGGACCCAGAGGCAUGUAAGGUAGGCAGAUCUGGUCUGCCAGGUGUGGUCUAAGGACCCAGGGUCAAGCACAGGUAGGUAGAAAUGGCCCUCCAGGUGUGAUCUAAAGACCAGGGUUGUUCACAGGUGGGUAGAAGUGGCCCACCAGAUAUGGUCUGAGGAGCUAAAGGUCAAGCACAGGUAGGCAGAACUGGCCUGCCAGGUGUGGUCUGAGGAGCCAAGGUCAAACACAGGUAGGCAGAACUGGCCUGCUAAGUACAGUGUAAGGAGCCAGGGUUAUAUGUAGGUAAGUAGAGCUGGCCCACCAACUGCAGUAUAAGAAGCCGCAGGCAGAUCUGCCCUGCCAGGUAUGGUCUGAGGACCCAAGAUCAAGCAAAGGUAGGUGGAGCUGGUCUGUCAGGUGUGGUCUGAAGAGCCAGGGUCAGAGGUAGGUAAGCAAAGCCCAUUGCCAAGUGUAAUGUCUUGAGAAGGUCUGAAGAACUAGGGUUGAGCUGAGGAGCCAUGGUCAAGCACCGAUAGGCAGGUGUGGUCUGGGGAGGGAGGUGAGGGAGGUUGAGUUGACUCUCAGAUGCUGGAUUCAGGCAAAGGUAUGUACCCUUGGAUCUUUGUGGUGGGUCCUGAAGGAGGUUAAGCCUGGGUAGGUGGAGUGGCCACAGGCAAGUCCCACAGCAUUGGAGUCUUUAGGUGGACAGAACACUGUGAGGUUCAGGGGAGGUCUGUAAGCCCUAAGUUAGACCUGAGUAGGUAGAUGUGGCUCUCUCAAGCAUGGACUUUGGAACCAGAGAUCUACACUUGAGUCUUGUUGGUGAGGUCCUUGGAACAUGGUUCUGGCUCAGGUGUGCCGACCCAGGUCUUAGAGGGGAGGCUUGGGGAGUAUGGGUUAGUCCCAGGGAGG